UCUAAGUCAUUUGUUAGACCUCGCAAUCCCCUCCAUGCGAGCUCCUUGUGUAUGCGCGAGCUGAGACCGUGAACUCCCAUCGACACGUGCGAGCUGGUGAUGCAAGCUUGAUGCAGCUUGUUGGGCACGCUAUGAGCUAUGAUGCUUAACAUCUAUCCCACCACAUGCACGAAUAAGCUUCUUCUACUUACAUAUGACCUUUGACAAUUGAAUCGUUUUCUUCUGCUUGUAUCUGGACCGUCAAUAGUCUUCGGUCAUUGAACUGUCAAAACGAGAGAGGAGAAGCUCUUUAAAAGGGAGAUCUUCGAGGCCUUAAACCUCUCACACUUAGCAUUCUCAACAACCAAAUCAAAGGUAAUUUCAAAGAACUUUUGCUUUUUGAAUUUUAAUUUUCUUCUUCUAUCCAAAUUAUGACAAGAAUGAAAAGGGUUGACAAUCGAAUAAUUUAGAGUUACCUACAGUGAGAGUGAUCAUUUAGGGUUUCGAUGGAAGCCAACUUCCAC
rnacentral:lncRNA from 1 species